UUUGGCAAUGGUAGAACUCACACUGGUGAGGAAAUGGGAUCCGGUGGUUCUAGACUUGCCAACUA
rnacentral:pre_miRNA from 1 species